UAAUUUGCUAAGCAUGAUUAAAAAUUUGCUAUAAAAGCCAAGAUACAGAGCAAGCUACCAUUUUCACAUAAUUCGUGAAAAGAGAGGAUAAUCAGGAGAACUAGAUUAAAUUGCAGUACCAUGCAGAAAGUUCAAGGCUCCUUUAAAUACAAGUAUUUAUUAUCUGGAAAGGACGAAGUUUCACUGUGCGAGCUAAGCUAAGAAAUAUUUUAUAGCAAAGGAGACCAGUAAAGAGUUAGUAUGGCACAAAUCAAGAGAAUCGCCCGUAAACGGAUUUUGGCAAAGUAAAGGAGAAGGCACAUCACAUGAGCUGAAGCUGCUAGGCAACGUCGUUUGGUUAUACCAUCUACAGUUAUUAUAAUAGUCUGUAAUCAGAUUUGUUAUUAUGUAAUAAAGUUAGACCUGGUAGAAAUGUUGUAAGACGAUCGACCCUGGACUUGUGGGGCAAUAAUUGUGCUUGUAUAAUAUUAAUAUAAUGCAAGUGUUGUUUUGA